CCUACGGGCGGCUGCAGUGGGGAAUAUUGGACAAUGGGGGGAACCCUGAUCCAGCCAUGCCGCGUGUGUGAAGAAGGCCCUCGGGUUGUAAAGCACUUUCAGUGAGGAAGAACGCCUGGUGGUUAAUACCCAUCAGGAAAGACAUCACUCACAGAAGAAGCACCGGCUAACUCCGUGCCAGCAGCCGCGGUAAUACGGAGGGUGCGAGCGUUAAUCGGAAUUACUGGGCGUAAAGCGCGCGUAGGUGGCUUGAUAAGCCGGUUGUGAAAGCCCCGGGCUCAACCUGGGAACGGCAUCCGGAACUGUCAAGCUAGAGAGCAGGAGAGGAAGGUAGAAUUCCCGGUGUAGCGGUGAAAUGCGUAGAGAUCGGGAGGAAUACCAGUGGCGAAGGCGGCCUUCUGGACUGACACUGACACUGAGGUGCGAAAGCGUGGGUAGCAAACAGGAUUAGAUACCCCGGUAGUA
rnacentral:rRNA from 1 species